CAAUGUGGCUCAGGGGUAGAGCAAUUCACUCGUAAUGAAUAGGUCGUGGGUUCGAUUCCCACCAUUGG
rnacentral:tRNA from 2 species